CAUCAUGAUAGAGCACACCAUCAUGGCCAACCCGAGGAGUAUGGCUCGGUCUUCUCCGGCUUUUAGGGCUGUGACUGUUUUCCUUUUGUCCAGUAGAUCGUGAUCCCUGAUUUUUUGGUAAAUAUUUCUGAGGCUGGUCAAAAUCUCCUGUGUUUUCUGUUACGGUUCUUUUGAAUCAUCCAGGCAGCACCCGAAGCAUGUGAACCGCACGCCUCUGAGCCCUGGCACCACCAUAACAUGGACAUAGAGGUACACGUGGAAGAGAGUUCCUCUUCUACUGUCUGCAAAAUGGCAGAGCUAUGGCAACAUGCGAUCUCCCUGGAGCUCUUACACAAAUCUCCAUGGUGGUUGUGGAAGGAUUCCUACCGGUAAGAAAGAUUUCACUCACUUAAUUCCCCUUCCUUGUCCCCACCAAACCAGACCAAACCGAACCACACCAAAGCAGUGCUCUGGUUUUCCAGUCCUACAGUGCUGUGGAAAGCAUAAUGGACAGCAGAGAAAGAAUGAGGGCUUGGUUAGGUUUCCAAAGCCUAGAAAGUGGCAGAUGGGGAACAGCAGAUUUCUAAAACAGAGCAACGAAUAUAACUUUUGGCCUUGUCCUACAGAAGCAGAUGCUGGUGAGACACCUCCCACUCAGGAGGAGACGAUUCCCCCGCCGCAAGGACCCAUUGCUGCAGCAGGCUAUUAUUAAUGUUUGCUGCUACGGAAGUUUGCUGCCCCAGCUGACAAUCUUCCCAUCUGAAGCUUAAAGAGCACAGAAUUCCUAGGAAAGGAUUGCUUAGGGGAUGUUUAUUUGUCUAAAAUGCAUGCCUGUUUGGUACAGCGAUGCUGUCGGUUGACCUUACAUGUGUUAAAAUUGCUGCCAGACACUAGCAAAGGAGUCCUACCUCCGUCAAGCAACCUUGCUUCCACAUUCAGACCUCUCUUCUCUGCAGAGCCCUGAGGCGACGGUCAUCACUCUCCUAUUCCACAUUGUCCGCUUUCUCCCCUUCCCUCCUUCCAUUUUAUCUAUCACUCACAGGGUAUGGACAGUCCCCUCCUGAAUGGCUUGACAAGGCCACCUGAAAUUGGCCAAGGCCAGCCGUGUAGGUACAGGGGUGCUGCUCCACCUCUGCAGGCAGUGCGGGGUUGAGGCUCUGCCCAGGGUCCUGAGCAACCAUGAUGCUGGCACAGCACCAUGCCUCUAGCACAGCGCUCAGCAGCCAAGUCAACAAGCCCUGCUGGAAGGCAUGCUAGGAGCUGAAGGCUGUGCUAAUCAGGAGAACGUGCUCCUGGCCAGCCCAUCCUGUGGGCAGAUAUCUCCUGCAAGUGCCUAGCCUUGGACCAUCCCAUCCAUGUCUGUUGUAUUCACACAGAAGAACAUUAGCCUGGGGAAAAUGCAGUUGCAGAGGAGACCUGCAGAAAUGCAAGAGGCAGUUAGAGAGCCAGCUACAACCGAAAGUCCAUGGAAACCUACUGCCAAGCCCAGGUCCUCCAGAUAUCUCUUUGGGAUCAGAGUAUCAACGCUGAGCACUAUGUGGCCUUGCAGCAGAGUUCAGCAAAUUGGCUAAUUCUCCAAAGGAAACCCUGCAUCCUGAGGGCAGCUCUGGUGCCUGAACUCACCAGCCCAUUUUCCAGCAGAUGCCAGCAGUAAUAUCUCAUUAGAAAAACUGAGGAGUGUGUUUUGCUAAUUGGCACUGUAGAUGCACCUGACCUCUGCUUUUGUUUCACUGGAGUCUGAUUUUUUGUGAUUGCUUUUAGCAGUGACUGCAAGGAGAAUUGAAGGAGAGGAGGCAAGGGAGAAGGGGGAAAGAAAAGAAAGGGAAAUGCGUCCAGUUGUGACAAGACAAGCUGUCCAGCAAAUCUUACUACAAAGGAGAGAGAUUUUGGAAGGAUGAGUCUGAGCAUUACUGACAAUUGUUCUUUCAUCAGUGAUAUUUAACUUCCUUCAUUCCCAACUGAGUGUUGCUUUGUCUGAAGACUUAAAACCUCUCCUUCCCUUUCCUCUCUUCUGUGCGAUUCUCUGCCCCCAGGAGACCCAGUAAUUCGUUUAUUCCUCUGUCUUGUCAGCCUAUUUCAUCCAGCAACACCACUGAAGUGGGCUGGCACUCUCCCAGUAGCCAGCUCCCUUUCCACCUGCUUGUCAUCACCCAUCUGUUGUGCAGUGCCUUGCACACAUGCUCGCCCUCACGUGUGUGCACAGGAACAGGAAACAUCUCCGAGAGCUGGAUGCAUCGCCCAGAUGUGGAACAGACACGGCUCAGGGAGGGGGCUGUGAGUGGCGGCAGGAGGGGGAUGUGCACUCUGUGGGCUCCUGGCUGGAAGCGGGACACCUGCGAAAGGCAUAGAGUUGUGGCUGCAAACUGUGCCUGGGGAUUGGUGUGCCAUAAAAUGUGCAAUGUGUGUGUGCCGGCCUCAGAGAUGGACCUCAGAGAGGAGCUGGGGGGAGCAAGGGAUAAGAGGAUGCACCCUUUGCAUCCCUCCUCCCUCCCCCUGCCACCACCGAAGAGCAGUGACAGGUCGCACUCCUAGAGAUUCAAAACCCAUCAGAGACAACCA